AUACGUAGGGGGCGAGCGUUGUCCGGAAUGAUUGGGCGUAAAGGGCGCGUAGGCGGCCCGGUAAGUCUGGAGUGAAAGUCCUGUUUUUAAGAUGGGAAUUGCUUUGGAUACUGUCGGGCUUGAGUGCAGGAGAGGUAAGUGGAAUUCCCAGUGUAGCGGUGAAAUGCGUAGAGAUUGGGAGGAACACCAGUGGCGAAGGCGACUUACUGGACUGUAACUGACGCUGAGGCGAGAAAGUGUGGGGAGCAAACAGGAUUAGAUACCCUGGUAGUCCACACUGUAAACGAUGAAUGCUAGGUGUAGGGGGUAUCGACCCCUUCUGUGCCGCAGUCAACACAAUAAGCAUUCCGCCUGGGGAGUACGGCCGCAAGGUUGAAACUCAAAGGAAUUGACGGGG
rnacentral:rRNA from 1 species